CUCUUUGACUUACUUCUUGACAAAUAUUGAAGAUUUUCUUUCGUUUUCGCCGAAAAAGCUAGUUCUUCUUCAUAAAUAGACUUCAUAUCUGAUGUAUUGUUUUACCUAUAUUGGAGCAGAAGUCUGGAAUUCUCACUGAUCAUUUGCUAUUGGAAUUAUCUUUAAGAGAGUAUGGGAAGAUUUAAAAGACUUCUCUGAUUUGAAUAGGAACUCAACGUGAACCCAAAUUUAAAAAAAAAGUGUGUUAGGGAAAGAACUGACAAGGAUUAUAAAGGUAUUCAAAAAUAACUUGGCGAUGGAUACUCAUUCUAUUCCAGUGACCGAAAAAGUCAUAAAUUACCCAAAAGCUAAGUAAAUCGACCGUAAAAGAAAGGAUACCAAAAUAGGUUGUAGAAACAGCACCAUUGCAGUUGGGAAUAUUAUGGCAACAAAUUGUCCUAAGUCUAAAUGGAUAUGCCGCAUGAGUAACAAAUUGACCAUUGCUAAAUUUGUUUAUGACCUUCAGUCACAAGAUAUUUAUUUCAGGUUGUAUAUUUUUGGCAGUUGUGGUUUCUAUAUAACAAUCAUCAUUUUCGCAUCAUUAGUUUGAAUAGGAUAAAUAUUGGAAGCUGACAACUUUUGUCUACUCUAUCAGAAGCAGAAUCAUUCUGAAUGAAAUUUAAUUCAAGAAAUUUAAGAGAAAUUUAUGAAAUUU